UACAGAGGGUGCGAGCGUUAAUCGGAGUUACUGGGCGUAAAGGGCGCGUAGGCGGUUGAAUAUGUGUGGUGUGAAAGCCCCGGGCUUAACCUGGGAAGUGCAUCGCAAACGGUUCGACUGGAGUAGAUGAGAGGGUGGUGGAAUUUCCGGUGUAGCGGUGAAAUGCGUAGAGAUCGGAAGGAACGUCAAUGGCGAAGGCAGCCACCUGGCAUCAUACUGACGCUGAGGCGCGAAAGCGUGGGGAGCGAACAGGAUUAGAAACCCUGUAGUCC
rnacentral:rRNA from 1 species